rnacentral:rRNA from 1 species
GACGAACGCUGGCGGCGUGCUUAACACAUGCAAGUCGAACGGAAAGGCCCUGCUUGCAGGGUACUCGAGUGGCGAACGGGUGAGUAACACGUGGGUGAUCUGCCCUGCACUUCGGGAUAAGCCUGGGAAACUGGGUCUAAUACCGGAUAUGACCUUCCAUGUAGUGUGGGGGGUGGAAAGAUUUAUCGGUGUGGGAUGAGCCCGCGGCCUAUCAGCUUGUUGGUGGGGUAAUGGCCUACCAAGGCGUCGACGGGUAGCCGGCCUGAGAGGGUGGACGGCCACAUUGGGACUGAGAUACGGCUCAGACUCCUACGGGAGGCAGCAGUGGGGAAUAUUGCACAAUGGGCGGAAGCCUGAUGCAGCGACGCCGCGUGGGGGAUGACGGCCUUCGGGUUGUAAACCUCUUUCGACAGGGACGAAGCUUCGGUGACGGUACCUGUAUAAGAAGCACCGGCUAACUACGUG